rnacentral:ncRNA from 1 species
AAUCCGACUAUUUAAUUAAAAAAAAGCAUUAUGAUGGUCCCUGCAGAUGCUAACAGAAUGUGAUUUAUGCCGAGUGAUUUUCAUUUCAAAGUGAAGAAAUUCAACCAAGCGCGGGUAAACAAUGGGAGUAACUAUGACUCUCUUAAAGUAGUCAUAUGCCUUUGUGUCAUCUAAUUAGUAACACGCGUGAAUGGAUUAACGAGAUUCCCACUAUCCCAAGCUACUAUCUACAGAAACCGCAACCAAGGGAACGAGCUUGGAAGAAUUAGAGGGGAAAGAAGACCCUGUUGAGCUUAACUCUAGUAUGAAUUUUUGAAAUGACUUGAGAGGUGUAGAAUAAGUGGGAAUUUUUUAUAGCGCAAGUGAAACACCACUACUUUUAAUGUUAUUUUACUUAUUUCAUGGGGAAAAUAUGAGGCCGCAUUGCACAUAUGUUAAAAUAUAAUGCACAUUUCCUCAAAGUGUUUUCAUUGAUGCCAAUGGUUGAAAGCUCAUUCUUCACACACUUAAUGGAAAUGUGUUUAAGAAACCAAAGGGGAUAAUUUCUUUUAAGGAU